rnacentral:rRNA from 1 species
GAUGAACGCUGGCGGCGUGCCUAAUACAUGCAAGUCGAGCGAACAGACGAGGAGCUUGCUCCUCUGACGUUAGCGGCGGACGGGUGAGUAACACGUGGAUAACCUACCUAUAAGACUGGGAUAACUUCGGGAAACCGGAGCUAAUACCGGAUAAUAUAUUGAACCGCAUGGUUCAAUAGUGAAAGACGGUUUUGCUGUCACUUAUAGAUGGAUCCGCGCCGCAUUAGCUAGUUGGUAAGGUAACGGCUUACCAAGGCAACGAUGCGUAGCCGACCUGAGAGGGUGAUCGGCCACACUGGAACUGAGACACGGUCCAGACUCCUACGGGAGGCAGCAGUAGGGAAUCUUCCGCAAUGGGCGAAAGCUUGACGGAACAACGCCGCGUGAGUGAUGAAGGUCUUCGGAUCGUAAAACUCUGUUAUUAGGGAAGAACAAAUGUGUAAGUAACUAUGCACGUCUUGACGGUACCUAAUCAGAAAGCCACGGCUAACUACGUG